GCCUGCCCCCACCUUGCCUCCUCACAGAGCCUGCGCCUGCUUCCCUCCGUGGAUCUCGAGUUGCUGGUCAGACCAAUGCGCAAGUCAGGGAUGUCACAUCCGGGCCACUUGGAUUGACAGCAGGGGCGGAACCGGAUUCGGCCAGGAGUUGAUUUGGGAACCAGAGAACAGCAGCCUAAGUUUGACUGUAAUUUUGGCAGCUACAGAUUCCCAAGACUACUAGGAAGGGAAAAGGAACCCUUCAAGGAAGUUCCAGGAAAAACGUCUCUCCCAAAAAGACCACCGCUUCAGGAAAACCUGAGGAAGGGAGUGGGCCAACAGUAUCCUGCCAUUGUGACCAGCUGAACGAGGAACUCCAUCAAAAUGAGCCACAGCUGGACCAAAGCAGUGAGGAGACCUCCACCUUCUUCAGUGUCUCCCUGAGCAGUCAGUAAUUUCAGGGCAAGCUGAGAGGUCUCCAGAGGUCUAACCCCAGAUAAAUAGCCAACAGGGUCUAGAGUACAUUUUAUACCCAACAGGGUAUACCCCAUGGUGAUCAAAAUAAAAUAAACCUGUUGUAAAAUGA